rnacentral:sRNA from 1 species
AUCUCUUACCCAUGUCUUUUGAGUACCUUCGUUUCCUCGGCGGGUCCGCCCGCCGAUUGGACAAAACUUAAACCCUUUGUAAUUGAAAUCAGCGUCUGAAAAAACUUAAUAGUUACAACUUUCAACAACGGAUCUCUUGGUUCUGGCAUCGAUGAAGAACGCAGCGAAAUGCGAUAAGUAGUGUGAAUUGCAGAAUUCAGUGAAUCAUCGAAUCUUUGAACGCACAUUGCGCCCCUUGGUAUUCCAUGGGGCAUGCCUGUUCGAGCGUCAUUUGUACCUUCAAGCUUUGCUUGGUGUUGGGUGUUUGUCUCGCCUCUGCGCGCAGACUCGCCUCAAAACAAUUGGCAGCCGGCGUAUUGAUUUCGGAGCGCAGUACAUCUCGCGCUUUGCACUCAUAACGACGACGUCCAAAAAGUACAUUUUUACACUC